GGCUCUUCAGCGCUGCGGAGGAUUCCGGCGUGUCCGGCUCCUCCAGGAUGGGUCCCUUUGAAUGAAGAUGAAAGGGGUGUGGAGAAACGGUAUUCGUUCGUCUUUACCAUCCCAUAACAUUCGUGAGCCGAUCCUGCCCUGGGGACACCGCGGUGGAUCCGGCAGGUCCAGUCGCAUCUGGAGCCCACAGUUUGGGGAGGGGGGGAGUUAGACGCAUCGCCACCACCAGACCCGGGAAGCCAACUUCCAUGGAAGUCAGAGGAAAGCACAGAUAAAUUCCAGACUGGCCUUGGGCUUCAGCAUCUCAAGCAUCCUGGUGAGCUCCAUGAUGAUCAUUUGCUCCAUUGUAAUUGGAGUCUUGAAACAGGAAAUAUGAGGCCAUACUGAAAUCACACUUACUUCAAAAAGUCAUGAACUGUACUUCCUGGAGCCUUUGAACUUGGACAUCAAUGACCUAUCGUACUGG